rnacentral:rRNA from 1 species
CCUACGGGAGGCAGCAGUUGGGAAUUUUGCACAAUGGACGAAAGUCUGAUGCAGCAACGCCGCGUGCGGGAUGAAGAUUUUCGGAUUGUAAACCGCUUUUAUUUGGGAGUAACUGUUUGAACGUACCAAAUGAAUAAGCACCGGCUAACUCCGUGCCAGCAGCCGCGGUAAUACGGAGGGUGCAAACGUUGUCCGGAAUUACUGGGCGUAAAGCGCAUGUAGGUGGUCUAAUAAGUGAACGAUUAAAUACCGACGCUUAACGUCGGAAAGGUUAUUCAUACUGUUAGACUCGAGGAAGACAGGGGCAGAUGGAACUUUAAGUGUAGGAGUGAUAUCCGUAGAUAUUUAAAGGAACACCAAUGGCGAAGGCAGUCUGCUGGGUCUUUUCUGACACUGAGAUGCGAAAGUGUGGGGAGCAAACGGGAUUAGAUACCCCGGUAGUCCACACUGUAAACGAUGCUCACUAGGUCUUGGAGGGUAUCGACCCCCUUUUGGACCGAAGCUAACGCGUUAAGUGAGCCGCCUGGGGAGUACGAACGCAAGUUUAAAACUCAAAUGAAUUGACGG